GGAGUCUGGGCCGUGUCUCAGUCCCAAUGUGGCCGUUCAACCUCUCAGUCCGGCUACUGAUCGUCGACUUGGUAGGCCGUUACCCCACCAACUAUCUAAUCAGCCGCGAGCCCAUCUUUGAGCGAUAAAUCUUUGAUUACAGAAUCAUGCGGUUCCGUAAUGUUAUGCGGUAUUACCAUCCGUUUCCAGAAGCUAUCCCACUCUCAAAGGCAGGUUGCUCACGUGUUACUCACCCGUCCGCCACUAAGUUAUUCAGAGCAAGCUCCGAAUAACUCCGUUCGACUUGCAUGUGUUAAGCGUGCCGCCAGCGUUCGUC
rnacentral:rRNA from 1 species